rfam:Hespellia stercorisuis DSM 15480 genome assembly, contig: EJ65DRAFT_scaffold00057.57
ACGCCUGUAGCUCAGUGGAUAGAGCACUGCCCUCCGGAGGCAGGUGCAGCGGUUCGACUCCGCCCAGGCGUG